AAAAAUUUAAAAAUUUGAAAAAU
rnacentral:misc_RNA from 1 species